UACAGAGGGUGCAAGCGUUAAUCGGAAUUACUGGGCGUAAAGCGCGCGUAGGUGGUUCGUUAAGUUGGAUGUGAAAUCCCCGGGCUCAACCUGGGAACUGCAUUCAAAACUGUCGAGCUAGAGUAUGGUAGAGGGUGGUGGAAUUUCCUGUGUAGCGGUGAAAUGCGUAGAUAUAGGAAGGAACACCAGUGGCGAAGGCGACCACCUGGACUGAUACUGACACUGAGGUGCGAAAGCGUGGGUAGCAAAC
rnacentral:rRNA from 1 species